GUUUUACGCGAGUGUAAGUGAGUGGUUUCUUUACCUUCCCAAGAUUCUCUGGCUAUGUUGAAAGUCAGCCACUGGAUCCCAGCGUCGUGGACCACUUAAUGACACUGGCCAGAACCCGAAUUUCACGUCUCUGGACUUUCACUCCGAAGAGGCUGUCGACAGACUUCAGUGCAAGAUCUCCACGAUGCCAGAAUACAGCGGCCGAUGCUUCCUAUCCGGCUCUGAGGACCAAGAAAAUGUGAAGAGAAAGUUGCUAGAAGGCAAAGAAACUCAAACUCAAGAUAUCUUUUUCAUGCAUACAUGGACAAUCCCCCCUCAUCGCCCGAUCCAUCCUGCAGCAAUGUGUGCAGGACAGAUGUGACAGAGAGGAAAGACCGCCCAGGGCUUUCAGAGCUUUCUUUCUUUAUACUUAAGCAAGUUUUCAAGGAAGUAGGAGUGGCAUGUUCAGAAUAUAAAACAUUUCCAUAAAAGGAGAGACUGUUCGCUUGUCAGCUGAAACAGGAGAUAACUUGUUCAGGUUUCAGCAGGCUGAAGCGAGUCCGGAUCUGAUGUUUCAGGAACAACUCUGCUGGUGUACGACCCGUCACAGUGUGCGGUGUACUGCGAUACAUGAUAAGGAAGUUUGCCAAACGAUGACUGAGUGGCAAUGUGGCCUUACCAUCUGCUUCCAGCACAUUUUUCAUCAGGGAUCGUUUCAGGAUUUGUACUGACCUCUCUGCUGCCCCCGUUUGAUGCAGGAUGAUAGGCAGGAACAGCUGUGUGUCCGAUCCCAUUUAACUCCACGGUGUGCUCCAGACCUUGCUGAGGAUUGGAUCCUUCAUGGUUGCUCUCUCAAUGUCUUUAGCUACUAUUGGUAGCUCUUCCACAUGUGAGAAAUAGAAGAUACUUCCCUCCUCGGCAAUGUUUUCUGGCGUAUUCCGAGGUUAUGCAAAGGCUGAAGAAUGGUGGAUGGAUUUUCCAAAAAUCGACUGUAGUAAUUUAGAAGACCAAGAAAGGACUUCAGUUCAGUGACGUUUGUUGGUUCUGGUGCAUUUGCUAUGGCUGCUACCUUUUCCUCUAAAGGAUGCAGACCAUCCCUGUCAAUACGAUGUCCCAGGUACUCCACACUGCUCUGAAGAAAGUGGCACUUGGAAAGCUUCACUCUGACACCAUGCUUCUCCAGACGUGUGAGUACUUCCUCCAACCUCUUCAAAUGACCCCUUUCAGAUGAAGCAGUGAUGAGGAUGUCAUCCAAAAAGCAGGUGACAUGCUCCAUCCCCUGAAGGAUUUGAUCCAUCACAGACUGGAAAAGAGCCGGAGCACUGGAAACACCAUAGCUGAGGCGAUUGUACUUAUAGAGACCUUUGUGUGUGUUUAAGCAUAUUUGCACUGCAGAAGACAUAAUGUGGAUUGCACAACACUGGACAUUAUAUUCUUCAUUUCCAGUUAAUACUUGUACAACUGCUGUUAUUGUGUAUAUAUUUAUUUAUAUUUCUUCAUACAUUCUUAUAUAGUUCUAUAUUGUGUAUUUUGUUGUACAGUUAUUUUAUUUUCAACUUUAAUUUAUAUAUUUUAUCUUAUUCUUUCCCAGUUAAAUUUACCCUUCAUUCUAAUUUGUGUUGUACAGUUAUUUCCUUUUUAACCUUAAUUUAUAUUUUAUUCCUUCCUAGUAAAAUUUACCCUUUUUAAUUUUUCAUAUUUAUUUCCUAUCUUAUUCAUAGCCUUUUCCUUUUUUUGUUUUCUUUAGGUCACGAGCAGUUGUCCAAGCAUUUCACUACAUAUCAUACUGUGUAUGACUGUGUACGUGACAAAUAAAAUUUGAAUUUGAAAUUUGAUGCCCAGAUACUUCUCUGAUUCUUCAUCUAACUGUAGCUGCUGAUAGGCAUGAGAAAGGUCAAGUUUACUGAAGGAUGUUCCUCCAGCUAAAGUAGCAAACAAAUCUUCAGUAUUUGGAAGUGGAUAUCUUUCCUCUUCAACACACUGGUUGACACUGACUUUGUAGUCACCACAUAUCCUAAUUGUUUUGUCUGCUUUUGGCACAGUAACAAUAGGGGAUGCCCACUCACUUUUCUCAACCUUUGAAAUAACCUUCACCUUUUCCAAUCUGUCCAGCUCCUUUUCCACAGCUUCUUUUAGUGCAUAAGGAAC
ensembl:lncRNA